UUCAGAAGAUGGGGAACAAAAGACUU
rnacentral:sRNA from 1 species